UACAGAGGGGGCAAGCGUUGUUCGGAAUUACUGGGCGUAAAGGGCGCGUAGGCGGCCUGUUAAGUCGAACGUGAAAUCCCCGGGCUCAACCCGGGAACUGCGUCCGAUACUGGCAGGCUUGAAUCCGGGAGAGGGAUGCGGAAUUCCUGGUGUAGCGGUGAAAUGCGUAGAUAUCUGGAGGAACACCGGUGGCGAAAGCGCGAGACUGGGCCAUAACUGACGCUGAGGAACGAAAGCCAGGGGAGCGAAAGGG
rnacentral:rRNA from 1 species